UUUUGGGGACUGGUUGGUAGAGUGCUUGCCUCACAUGCACAAGGCCAUGGGUUCAAUCCCCAGCACCAAAAA
rnacentral:tRNA from 1 species